rnacentral:sRNA from 1 species
GGUAAAUUAAGUUGUGAUAGUUUUGACCUUCUUUUGUGAUGAUUAUUUUCUAAUUCAUGUACCAUAUACAGUAGUUAUUAUUUUUACAUGUAUUUUUGAUUUUGUGGUUCAUUCUAUAAUACUGGAUACCCGGAAUUAUUCGCCCCCAUUUAAUUUUCACCACUUUUGCCCUCGCUGUAAGCGGGCAAAUUUAAUGCUGAAUGAAUACCAAUGUCUCACAUUAUCUCUCUUUAAUCUAAUUAGGCGAAUUCAAAAUGGGGCAAAACUGAUUACUGUAGGAGGGUGAAAAUAACACAGGGCAAAAAUAACCCUGUAUACAGUAAUUCGUGCUUGUCUAUCAUCCUAGUACUAUUUCUCUGCUGUAACAGUAUGUUGACAUGAAAUCCAAGAUGGUGGUCUGGUGUUAUAUCAAGUUAUAUUGUGAUUGUUCAUUGUUGAUGAUGAUUCUUUUGUACCUAUAUAUUGUAAAACCAAUAUGCAUAAACAGUUUGAAAGGAAAAGUAAGGUAUUGAUUUUUUUUUAGUUUUUAGAUUUCAUUUAAAAUUAAUGUUGUGAUUUCUAUUUAUUUCGGUUAUUCAAUGAUUGUUUAAUUUAUAAAUUGGGAUCCCCCCAAAAGUUAUUGUAUACAUUCCAGGUUUAUUAUAUAUUUGAGGUGUUAUUAGGAUGUUAAACCUCAGUUAGAUUUGGCUUUUGAAAAAGUGACAUGGUGAGAUUAAAGGGGGAAAACUCUGCAAUAUUGAUUACAGAUUUUUCAAAGAGCAUAUAUAUACAUAGAUCUCUUCUAAUUUUUUUUACUCAAUUUAAUUAUAUUUACCAUGAUGUUAUACACAAUUUAGAGCAAUGUAAUAUUAUCCUCUAUUUCUCUUUCCAAGAUGUUAGUUCAAUUUUCCUGGCAUUCCCUAUUUCAUCCUAAAAAUACUUUUGUUCAGUUUCUUUUAUCUGGGUUUUGUGGCGAAAAGUAUAUUUCGCAAAACGGUAUAUAUAAAUAUAUAAUAUAUAUGACUCAAAGUACAAAAUAUUUUAGCAUUGCUAUGAUUAGAGUCUUCUGAUUCUUACCAUACAUUUUUCAAACUUUUAUUAUAUUUACUGUAUUUGUCUUUAAUUAAGAUAAAUAUAUGUUAUGAUAUUGAUGUUAUUUAAAUUGUACUAUAGGUGUUAAAGAUUGCUGACAUUUUAUCAACCAUAAGAUACGAUAAUAUAACUACAGAAUCUAUACAGUGUGCCUUUGUUUGGAGAAUUAUUUUUUUUUUAGUGUUAAAAGAUGAAUUGCAUAGAUAAAUGUCACAAUUAUCAUAAUGCAUGCACUGGAUUAUAAUAGUUCACUUUGUUAUGUCGAUUGAUUUCACAACAGGUCAGUUAUUGCUGCACUAAUUUGUAUAUUCUCUUCUUUUAAGUUCCUUGAUUUCAUUCAGUUUUGUGUGCAAGUUUAUGAGAUGAUUACAAAAAAUAGAUACAAUAUAUACUGUACAUUUC